GAUGAACGCUGGCGGCGUGCCUAAUACAUGCAAGUCAAACGAGUUCUUCGGAACUAGUGGCGGACGGGUGAGUGGCACGUUGGUACCUACCCCGAAGUGGGGAAUAACUGGCCGAAAGGUCGGCUAAUACCGCAUAAUACCGUAAGGUUAAAGCAGUAAUGCGCUUCGGGAGGGGCCUGCGUCUGAUUAGCCAGUUGGUAGUGUAAUGGACUACCAAGGCGACGAUCAGUAGCUGGAUCGAGAGGUUGACCAGCCACACUGGGACUGAGAUACGGCCCAGACUCCUACGGGAGGCAGCAGUAAGGAAUCUUCCACAAUGGACGAAAGUCUGAUGGAGCAACGCCGCGUGCAGGAUGACGGCCUUCGGGUUGUAAACUGCUUUUAUAUGGGAAGAUUAUGACGGUACCAUAUGAAUAAGGACCGGCUAACUACGUGCCAGCCGCCGCGGUAA
rnacentral:rRNA from 1 species